rnacentral:rRNA from 1 species
UACGUAGGGUGCGAGCGUUGUCUGGAAUUAUUGGGCGUAAAGAGCUCGUAGGCGGUCUGUCGCGUCUGCUGUGAAAUCCCGAGGCUCAACCUCGGGCCUGCAGUGGGUACGGGCAGACUAGAGUGCGGUAGGGGAGAUUGGAAUUCCUGGUGUAGCGGUGGAAUGCGCAGAUAUCAGGAGGAACACCGAUGGCGAAGGCAGAUCUCUGGGCCGUAACUGACGCUGAGGAGCGAAAGCGUGGGGAGCGAACAGG